CGUCCGGAAACGGGCGCUAUUACCGCAUACGUCCUACGGGAGAAAGUGGGGGAUCUUCGGACCUCACGCUAUUAUAUGACCCUAGGUCGGAUUAGCUAGUUGGUGAGGUAAUGGCUCACCAAGGCGACGAUCCGUAACUGGUCUGAGAGGAUGAUCAGUCACACUGGAACUGAGACACGGUCCAAACUCCUACGGGAGGCAGCAGUGGGGAAUAUUGGACAAUGGGCGAAAGCCUGAUCCAGCCAUGCCGCGUGUGUGAAGAAGGUCUUCGGAUUGUAAAGCACUUUAAGUUGGGAGGAAGGGCAGUUACCUAAUACGUGAUUGUUUUGACGUUACCGACAGAAUAAGCACCGGCUAACUCUGUGCCAGCAGCCGCGGUAAUACAGAGGGUGCAAGCGUUAAUCGGAAUUACUGGGCGUAAAGCGCGCGUAGGUGGUUUGUUAAUUUGGAUGUGAAAGCCCCGGGCUCAACCUGGGAACUGCAUCCAAAACUGGCAAGCUAAAAUAUGGUAGAGGGUGGUGGAAUUUUCCUGUGUAGCGGUGAAAUGCGUAGAUAUAUGAAAGGAACACCCAUUGGCGGAAGGCGUACCACCUGGACUGAAUACUGACACUGACGUGCGAAAGCGUGGGGAGCAAACAGGAUUAAGAUACCCCUGGUAUUCCACGCCGUAAACGAUGUCUACUACGCGUUGGGAGCCUUGACUUCUUUAGUGGCGCACCUAACGCAUUAGUUGGACCGCCUGGGGAGUUCGGCCCCAAGGUUAAAACUCAAUGAAUUUGACGGGGCCCGCACAACGGUGGAACAUGUGGUUUUAAUUCCUAAGCA
rnacentral:rRNA from 1 species